rnacentral:tRNA from 1 species
GCCUGGGUGGCUCAGUGGUUUGAGCACCUGCCUUCAGCCCAGGUUGUGAUCCUGGAGUCCUGGGAUCGAGUCCCACGUCAGGCU